AUUAAAGUUGUUGCAGUUAAAAAGCUCGUAGUUGGAUUUUAGGGUAACUUCGACCCCUUGCCUCGCCGGUAGGUGAGUUUUGCAGGGGUUGAUUACUCUUUAUUAUAUCUUCCGAGACGCACUUGCCUGCUCUUAAUUGAGUGGGUUAGGGGUCUUGGAUCGUUUACUUUGAAAAAAUUAGGGUGUUUAAAGCAGGCUACAUUUAUGCCUUGAAUAGAUUAGCAUGGGAUAAUAGAAUAGGACUUCUCUUUCUUUUUGGUUAGUUUCAGAAAAAGGGGUAAUGAUAAAUAGGAACGGUCGGGGUUAUUCAUAUUUAAUUGUCAGAGGUGAAAUUCUUAGAUUUUUUAAAGAUGAACCUAUGCGAAAGCAUCUAACAAGGACGCUUUCAUUGAUCAAGAACGAAAGUUAGGGGAUCGAAGACGAUCAGAUACCGUCGUAGUCUUAACUAUAAACGAUGCGGACCAAGGAUUAGGUGAUGUUAUUUGUACAACUCUCCCAGCACUUUGAGAGUAAUCAGAGUCUUUACGCUCCGGGGGGAGUAUGGUCGCAAGGCUGAAACUUAUAGGAAUUGACGGAAGGGCACCACCAGGAGUGGAGCCUGCGGCUUAAUUUGACCCAACACGGGAAAACUCACUAGGUCAGGACAUAGCAAGGAUUGACAGAUUGAUAGUUCUUUCUUAAUUUCUAUGGGUGGUGGUGCAUGGCCGUUCUUAGUUGGUGGAGUGAUUUGUCUGGUUAAUUCCGAUAACGAACGAGACCUCAGCUUGUUAACUAGUGGUAGUAAGCUUCUAUAUGGGUGAAGCUGGAUUUUAUCGUAGAGCUCGGGAAACCGAGCCUCUGCGGUAGUCUAGUGGAUCCUUGAUGUUUUGCUGCUGACAUAAAACUUCCUAAAGGGACUGUUCACGUUUAGUGAAUGGAAGUGAGGCAAUAACAGGUCUGUGAUGCCCUUAGAUGUCCUAGGCUGCACGCGCGCUACACUGACGGGAUCAGAGAGUUGUCUUUCCUGGUUCGAAGGAAUCGGGUAAUCUGAAAAACCCCGUCGUGACAGGGAUCGAUUAUUGCAAUUAUUAGUCGUGAACGAGGAAUUCCUAGUAAGCGCAAGUCAUCAGCUUGCGUUGAUUACGUCCCUGCCCUUUGUACACACCGCCCGUCGCUCCUACCGAUUGAAUGGUCCGGUGAAAUGUUCGGAUAUUGAGGUCCAGGGAACUGGGGCAACCUGGUUUCUAACUUCUAAAGAAGAGCAGUGAACCUUAUCAUUUAGAGGAAGGAGAAGUCGUAACAAGGUUUCCGUAGGUGAACCUGCGGAAG
rnacentral:rRNA from 1 species